rnacentral:rRNA from 1 species
AGUCACUGACAUUAGAUACCCGGGUAGUCCAGGGUGUAAACGCUGCAGACUUGGUGUUGGGAACCCUUCGGGGGUGCUCAGUGCCGGAGAGAAGUUGUUAAGUCUGCUACUUGGGAGUACGUCCGCAAGGAUGAAACUUAAAGGAAUUGGCGGGGGAGCACCGCAACGGGAGGAGCGUGCGGUUUAAUUGGAUUCAACGCCGAAAACUCACCAGCAGCGACUGUUACAUGAAAGUCAGGUUGAUGACCUUACUAGAUUUUCAG